rnacentral:rRNA from 1 species
ACGCUGGCGGCGUGCCUAAUACAUGCAAGUAGAACGCUGAAGGAGGAGCUUGCUUCUCUGGAUGAGUUGCGAACGGGUGAGUAACGCGUAGGUAACCUGCCUGGUAGCGGGGGAUAACUAUUGGAAACGAUAGCUAAUACCGCAUAACAGUAGAUGUUGCAUGACAUUUGCUUAAAAGGUGCAAUUGCAUCACUACCAGAUGGACCUGCGUUGUAUUAGCUAGUUGGUGGGGUGACGGCUCACCAAGGCGACGAUACAUAGCCGACCUGAGAGGGUGAUCGGCCACACUGGGACUGAGACACGGCCCAGACUCCUACGGGAGGCAGCAGUAGGGAAUCUUCGGCAAUGGACGGAAGUCUGACCGAGCAACGCCGCGUGAGUGAAGAAGGUUUUCGGAUCGUAAAGCUCUGUUGUAAGAGAAGAACAGGUGUGAGAGUGGAAAGUUCACACUGUGACGGUAUCUUACCAGAAAGGGACGGCUAACUACGUGCCAGCAGCCGCGGUAAUACGUAGGUCCCGAGCGUUGUCCGGAUUUAUUGGGCGUAAAGCGAGCGCAGGCGGUUAGAUAAGUCUGAAGUUAAAGGCUGUGGCUUAACCAUAGUACGCUUUGGAAACUGUUUAACUUGAGUGCAAGAGGGGAGAGUGGAAUUCCAUGUGUAGCGGUGAAAUGCGUAGAUAUAUGGAGGAACACCGGUGGCGAAAGCGGCUCUCUGGCUUGUAACUGACGCUGAGGCUCGAAAGCGUGGGGAGCAAACAGGAUUAGAUACCCCUGGUAGUCCACGCCGUAAACGAUGAGUGCUAGGUGUUAGACCCUUUCCGGGGUUUAGUGCCGCAGCUAACGCAUUAAGCACUCCGCCUGGGGAGUACGACCGCAAGGUUGAAACUCAAAGGAAUUGACG